rnacentral:tRNA from 1 species
AUCAUUUUGGCAGAUUAAGUGUAGUGAAUUUAGAAUUCAUUGAUGUAAAAUAGUAUUUUAUAAAUGAUA